GAUAUAUAGAUAAAAGUUUUCUAAAAUAUUCUCAUAUGUUGUUUCAAGAAACAAAUUAAAAGUUCUUAUUGUUCUUUGCUUAUAUGAAAUUUCUAUUUCCUUUGACUAGCUUUUUGUAACAUCAUACUGCAUUAUGUUUUUUAAAUAUAAAUCUGACAGUAUUUUAUUAGAAAAAAAAUUUGCAAGGGGUAUUGUUGUAAUAAGAUGAAAGUAUGAGGAGUAAGCGGCAAACUCGCUUGAUAUAAACUUACAAGGGCUAAACUUAGAGUAUUGUCGAUUGACUAAAAAUAAAUUAUCACCCCAAAAGAUCUUAUAGUCGUUUGAUUUAUUUUAUAGAAGAUAAGUUGCUUUAAUUAAUAUUUUUACAGAAAUAUAUUAUUUAAAAUUUUGGAUUUUGAGUGUCCACUGAUGAAUUUUAUUUUAAUGAAAAAAAUAUCAUAUGAGUUUAAUAUAGUUAAUAACUUAUUUGAAAUAGUUUUUU
rnacentral:misc_RNA from 1 species